AUGGCUCCUGAAAUCUUCCGGUUUUCCAUCCCCAACAUGGGCAAUGCCCAACACUGGCAAUGCAACAAUGCAUCGAUGGUUCAAUGGAACGUCCAAAGCUUACUUAGUAAAGUAUCUACACAGAGAGUGACUUUGAGAUCGGAAAAGCGCCGAGAGACGCUGCGGGGAGCUCCGGAUCCAGGCAGCAUCUCCGUACCCCCCAGCUUCCCUCACCCCUCUCCCCGAGCCCCGCUUCUGCAGCCCCGAGCUGGGGAGCCCCCCUACCUGGCCGGCCGACUUGGCGCAGGGGAGGUGCUGAGUCGGCGGAGAGCCCGAGUGGGAAUGCGGCAGGUCGGCUUUGCGGUACCCUGGCGCGAGCCGCGGCCGCCGCAGCAUCCGAAGGGCGCCGGGGCCAGCGCGCCACCCUUGCCCCUGGUCCUGCUUCCUUCAGUCGGCCAGUUGCUUUACUCGGCAGCUACGGCGGAAAUGUCCAUUCCCUACGCCCAUGCUCACCCGUGGCCGGCAGCUUGGAGACGCCACUCUGUCUCUUGUCUCUCUCUGUGUGUGCGGGGAGUUCCGGAGGCUGCGGAUCGGAAGAGCAAAAUGCCACCCUCUCCGGAGCUCUGAAGCGAAUGACGAUACGGAGCGCUUUCGCCCCCUCCCAGCACCGUGGGAGCCCUUGAUUCGAUCCCGAAGGAGGCGAGUGAGCGAGGGCCUGGAUCUACAGGGCUCGCGGGUCUCCCCCGCCGCCUCCAGCACACCCCCGCGCGCGGACCUCGGCGAGGCUACGCGGAGCGCUGGGAGCCGUUCGCAGCGCCGAGUGGGGCAGGGUGCGUGCGGCGCGGGUCCCCUCGGUCCAUUUCUGGGCGCUGCUAGAUCAGCAGAAACCUGAGAAAGCGCAGGAAUGCGGAGCAGCGAUUGGCCCACCGGGGCGUGGGCUGGGGNNNNNNNNNNNNNNNNNNNNGAGCCGUCGCGCCGCCCCCGCCGGGGGGCCUGCCUCCGGCCGCGCCCCGGCCCGUCCCCGCCGGCCUCGGGGGAGAUGCGGACUUGGGCUCUGCAGUUGGGGAAAUCACCCGGGUGCGUUCUCGGUCGCGCUGCUGCGAGGCGGUGGUGCUAACAGCGUGUCCCUCUUUGACCUACGACGGGAGUUGAAGUUUGCUGGCCAUCAGACUAUUCUGAAAUACCGAGAAUGUGACUUGGGGGAAACCAAAGGCUUCGUGGGUUUAUGGGCUUGUCUGCCAACUUGGUGCUGAUCGGAACGAAUCUGAAAAUCGAGUGGCUUGCCCACCUCCCACCCACGUCCGCCUUCCCGAAGCCUCUUUUCCCGACCUAGGGCCUUCUCGGGGCCACUUUGCAAGGCUGGCCACUUCUCGAGGAUAGGGUCCGCCCAGAGGCGCUGGGGCUGGGGGCGGGGAGCGGGAGCCGGGGGCGUGCGCGGGGCGCUCGGAGUGCGGCUACAGCUGCGCCCCCAAAGACGCUUCUGCGCCUGGGCGCCCGCAGCGCGAGAGGAGGCAGCCAGCAGCUCGGGCACUUCAGUUACUGCCGAGUCUCCAAGGAGGCUGCGAGCGCCGGGAGUCGCCGCCGAUUGGCUCCGCGGCUGCCUAGGGACCACCGGUUCGCACCGCAGCCUCCGCGCUGCCUCCCGCCUACACCACCCACCCCUUUAAUCAGAGCCAAAGAUUGAGUCCUCCCGGCUCUAUUGUGGCUAGUGAGAGAGGCAGGAGCCUCUGCCGGUUUACCCAGGCGGUGCAGCAAUCCUGGGCACCCAACUACUUAAGCUCCCGCCCACCAACUCCAGCAUUUCUUUCAGAGAAAAUAAGUAUCCACUCCCUCGCAGGAGCGUAUCCCAGCUUUUCUUUUACAAACAAUGAGUUUCUGUUAAACCCCUCCUUUCCAAAUUAAGCGCUGUCCUUUCCCCCACCUUCCAAACACACACUCCUGUAUCCCACUAAGUCUGCAGUUUCUUUCCUUUCCACCUUAUUGCUUUAUUGAGAAAAAAGAAAAAAAACCACGAAGCUCUGCAUUGGAAUAUCUGUGGCUCAGAUGGUAAGGAAUCUGCCUGCAGUGUGGGAGACCCUAGUUUGAUCCCUGGGUGGGGAAGAUCCCCUUGGAGAAGGAACUGGCAACCCAUUCCAGUAUUCUUACCUGGAGAAACCCAUGGACAGAGGAGCCUGGUGGGCUGCAGUCCAUGGAGUCACAAAGAGUUGGACAGGACUGAGCAACUAACACACACAGACACAGACACACACACACACACACACAUACACAUACACACACACACACCUAUUUUAGUUGCUGCUGCUAUGAUUGCUAGUGCUGUUACAGCCCUAUCUGAGAACAAAUACCCUACUACUAGACCCAAUAAACAUUUUCUGACCAUCUCGCAGCAAUAAGGGGCUUCCUACCUUGCUGCUGUAUCUCCCUUGACCUGUAGCCCCCCAUUUCUUUUAAAAGUUUCUCAUACUGUCAUCUCCCCAGCUUCCUCUGGAUGCACUUGCACUGAUUCAGCACUGGGAGGUUGACUUGCUAGAAGAGAUUUACAGACUGGAGGAGAUCCCAGAUUCCUAAAUCCAGGGUUUAAUAAGGGGGCACAAUAAGAUCAGGAAGUUUUCAAUGUCCCUGGCAGAUGUCUUUAGAGCAGGUCUGGACCUCCAAGGAAUUGGAAGAAAGUUGCUGAGCUAGGAACUCACUUGAUACAACCUUGCCAUUGGUAAGGGUUUGAAGAUGUUAAUUUAUUCAACAAUUUGCUUAGCUCCAGCUUUGUGUCUCCCUGGUGGCUCAGACAGUAAAGAAUCUGCCUGCAGUGCGGGAGACCUGGGUUCAAUCCCUGGGUAGGGGAGAUCCCCUGGAGGAGGGCAUGGCAACCCACUCCAGUAUUCUUGCCUGGAGAAUCCCCAUGGACAGAGGAGCCUGGUGGGCUGCAGUCCAUGGAGUCACAAAGAUUAGGACAUGACUGCACAAUUAAGCACAGCCCAGAACAGCUGUGUGUCAGCCAAGUUCUAGCACUGAUGACGUGGUAAUAACUAAGAUACGAGGUCCCAGACCUCUCAGUGUUCACAUUCUUGUGGAAGAAACAGUCAACAAACAAACCACUGCAUAUAUGAACAGCAUUUUUAAUAUCCAUUCAUCUGUCCAUGGACACUUAGGCUAUUUCCUUGUCUUAACUAUUUAAAUAGCACUGCUAUGAACAUAGAAGUGGUGUAUUUUUCAAGUUAUAUAUAGUUUUGUCUAGAUAUACAAGAUGGAAUACUACUCAGCCAGAUAAAAGAAAGAAAUAAUGCCAUUUACAGGAAAAUGGACGGGCCUAGAGAUUAUCAUACUAACCGAAGUAAGUCAGAAAAACAAAUAUCAUAUGAUAUCACUUAUAUGCAGAAUCUAAAAUGUGAUGGACAGGAAGUUAUCUACAAAACAGAAACAGACACACGGACACAGAGAACAGACUUGUGAUUGCCAUAGGGGAGGGAUGGACUGGGGGUUUGGGAUUAGCAGAUGCAAAUUAUCACAUACAGGAUGGAUAAACAACAAGGUCCUACUCUAUAGCACAGGGAAGUAUAUUCAAUAUCCUGUGAUAAGCCAUAAUGGAAAAGAAUAUGAAAAACUACAUAUAGUUAUAUGUAUAUAUAACCGAAUCAUUUUGCUGUACACCAGAAACUAACACAACAUUGUUAUAGUUACACAGCUAUACCUCAAUAAAAUGAAUUUUAAAAAGACAAAUAAACCCUGUUAGAUUAAAAAAAAUUAAGAGAAUAGAAAGUGACAAAUAUAGGCGUGUGUGGAUAGGAAGUGUCUCUCUGCAGAGGUAGCAUUUGAACAAAGAACUUCAAGAACUGAGAGGGUAGAGAACAGGCAGAUCAGAAGGCUGGGCGUGAGAGCCAAUGCAAAGAUUCUAAGGCAAGGACAAGCACAGCGUAUCUGGGAAGCAAAAGAGGACCAGAAAGAAAUGACCAAGGAAAAGUGUGGGAGAAACUAGGUCAGAAAAGCAGGCAGGGACCUGCUCAUGCAGAGCCUCUUAAGCCACUCUAAGAAUAUUUCAUUUUAUUUUGAGCACAAUGGGAGGUGAUCGGAGGACUUGGAUCCAUGAAGUAACAUAAUAAGAUUUGCCUUUUUUUUUUUUUUCGCCGCACUGCACAACUUGUGAGAUUUUAGUUCCCUGACCAGCAUAUGAACCUGGGCCCUUGGUAGUGAAAGCACAGAAUCCUAACCACUGGACCACCAGGGAAUUCCCUGAUCUGCCUUUUUUAGAGGUUAUUCUGGUAGCUCCAACGGGAAAGAAUCUGCCUGCAAUGAGGGAGACCCAGGUUCGAUCCCUAAGUCAGGAAGAUCCCCUGGAGAAGGAAACAGCAACCUACUCCUGCAUUCUUGCCUGGGAAAUCCCAUGGACAGAGGAGCCUGGCGGGCUACAGUCCAUGGGAUCACAAAGUCAGACACAACUGAAAGACUUUCACUUUCAGGAGCAAGGCAUAAGGUUGGAGGUCACUGAGUAGCACAAAGGAAGAUGGCUUAAACUGGGGAAAGAGUGGUAGGAAUGGGAUUACAUUUUGAAAACAGAGAUAGCAAGAUUCCGGAUAUGAAGAAACAGUUCAAGAACAUCUUCUAGCUCUGUAACCAUAGUAACCAGGUGGAUGGUGAUGGCAUUUCCUGGAGGAGUGAAUUGGACAGCACUUGUCCCACCAGGAUGUGAACUGCACAAAGUCUGGGACCUGGUGUGUUUUAGUUGUGACUGCCUUGGGCCAUGGAGGCUUUUCCUCAGAGUCUCCCUGCCUGGCCAUUCUUCCUUCCCUGUGGCCACUUGCCCUGCCUCAGCUGCUGCUGGGUCAGCCAGGUCUGUGCCAGCAGCAGAAUUCUGCCCAAUGAAGUUGACCACACAGCGAUGCAUGGAAUCUGGAGUGCCCAAGAUGGCAAAAAGUUCCAGGUGACCAACACAGGCACGUGGAGACAUUGAUUCAAUGGGCCAGCCG
ensembl:lincRNA